AUGGAGACGGCGGGCCGAGGACCAGGAGGGCGGCAGUCGACGGGGGCGGAGGCCGGGUGGGCCUGGUCGUGGGCGUGCUGCGCCGUGGCAGCGUGCGUGGCGGCAGUGGGGCUGGCGGGCGCCGGCGUGCUGGUGUGGUGUGCGGUGGCGUUCCACCCGGCACGGGAGCAGCUCUGGAUGGUGCCCGUCGGGCUCGUCCUCCUCGGCACGCCGCUAGUCGCCUGGCUCUCCCUCUUCGCCUCCGGCGCAUGCCGC
rnacentral:rRNA from 1 species